UACGAAGGGUGCAAACGUUGCUCGGAAUUAUUGGGCGUAAAGCGCACGUAGGCGGCUUGGCAAGUCGGAUGUGAAAUCCCUCGGCUCAACCAAGGAAGUGCAUCCGAAACUGCUAAGCUUGAGUACUUAAGAGGAUCGCGGAAUUCCCGGUGUAGAGGUGAAAUUCGUAGAUAUCGGGAGGAACACCAGUGGCGAAGGCGGCGAUCUGGGAAGAUACUGACGCUGAGGUGCGAAAGCGUGGGAGCAAACAGG
rnacentral:rRNA from 1 species